rnacentral:lncRNA from 1 species
GAGAAAUGAGACAGAGGCGGUUUUUUUCUGGCAGCCUCGGUGACUUUGUGUUCAGACACCCAGGUCUUUUAAGUUCACCCUCUGGGAAGUGCCCUCUUAAACCCAGGCUGUAUCAUCUGCAGGGCCUGGCCUAGCAAAGGGCCUCAACAUGGGGUCUGUUUUUAAACACAGUCUGGAGGCCAGCGUUUGACCAGGUGUCUGCAGGGCCACCAUCCCCCCAAGGCUCUUGUUCUCCCAGCCCAC